ensembl:rRNA 5S_rRNA 5S ribosomal RNA
UCCAACAGCCAUAUCACCCUGCAACUCACAAGUGGCAGCCCACUGAAGCUAAGCAGGUAUGAGCUUGGUCAGUACCUGGAUGGGAGACCUCCUGGGAAAAACUAAGGUUGCUGCUGGGA